UUUUGGAUCCAGCAUAUUUCUCAUUUUUAAUGUCUUUCUCCAGUUUCCAUCGAAAUUUUCAAAAAUAUACUUUUUAUGUUUGAUAAUUACACAUGUUUGGAGAACAGAUAUUCACCCACAAAAUUGCAUGUACACCGCACAAUAUACACCGAUGUAAAUCAGAAACGCAUUUUAGCGUGGGGCUAAAAGAAAAAAAGGGCCAGCCGCAGCGUAAACUGCUCAACAAGCGGCGUGCGUGUGUUUGUGUGUAUGUGUAUGUGUGUUUAUAUAGAAGGAAAUAAGCUGGGCGUCAACAUUCAAAAUGUACCCUUUUCAAGCUCACGCCUCGUGCAAUUGGUCUCUCAUUUGCUGGCAUCCAAAUUAUGCAAAUGUCUUAUGAAUAAUAUUGAGAAACACGAAUCAUGUGCAAAUUCAAAUGAAUGUGAUUAAAUAGAAUGUCAUUAUCGUUGCUGACGACUGGCAGUUGUGAUGGUUCUUAUAUAUACGCAGCCUGAGGCAAUGCACUGUACACUGUAGAGAUUGAGAGUGCGUUGUCUAAUCAAACCUUGAUAGACGCCCACAUGCAAACAUACAUACAUAUAUCCUUAUGAAUAUUAACAUGUAUAUGUAGACUUUAGGGUCAGAGGCCCUCCUCUGCCUUUCUUCUUACACAUAAAAAAUAA